CACACACACACACACACACACACACACACACACACACACACACACACACACACACACACACACACACACUUGCUCCGUCUCAGGCUGCUGUGUUCUAACAAGAUGGCAUCAGGUCAUCUCUCAGAUCCUGAUAGUGAAGAGUUCUGCUGCUGCUGCUGCUGCUGCUGAUGCUGAUGAUGAUGAUGAUGAUGAUGAAGGAUACGAUAUGAUACGAUAUGUUCAAGCUGUGAUUCUUCGACACAAACUGAUAAUGAUACUAAACACGUUCCUCUCCAUCUAACAGCACCUGUCAGGUCUGGAUGCUGAUUGGUCAGACGAACAUGCUGAUACCUCAGUAACAAUGCUGGUGAAGUUUUCUGUGUGUGUGUGUGUGUGUGUGUGUGUGUGUGUGUGUGUGUGUGUGUGUGUGUGUGUGUGUGUGUGUGUGUGUGUGUGUGUCUCCAGUGUCACAGUCACAGGUGGAACUUCAGGACAGAACAAAAUACAAGCUGAGAUUUUUUCAUGUUAAACUGCAGUGAGAGAAUAAAGUUCAGCUGGUGAAGGAUUGUGUGUUUAUAGCUGCUAUAACCUUCUGACAACAGGAAGUUCUGACAACAGGAAGUUCUGACAACAGGAAGUUCUGACAACAGGAAGUUCUGACAACAGGAAGUUCUGACAACAGGAAGUUCUGACAGCAGGAAGUUCUGACAGCAGGAAGUGACUCACUUCACCAGCAUUGUUACUGAGAAGAUAAAGCCAUCACAUGUUCACACAUGACUGAGCCUGUCACCAUUACUGUAUUUACUCUCCAGCUCUGACCUGCACGUGACCUUCAGACAUUACACAGAAAUCACUUCGAGAUGCCGGGCGACCCACGGACACCACGAUGGAGAAGAAAAAGGGUGCCAUUCAGCGAGCGGCUGGACCAAUUCCAUCUCCGGCUGCUAAAAUUAAUCGGACGUCUCCCUAAGAAAGUAAAUAAGACGUGCCUUCACUAUAAUGGCUACGGAGGGAUGGAGGACGAGAUGAUAAAUGAAUGGAAGCGGCUUGAUGAACGGGUCUUUUUUAUUAUCCAUAACAAGCCAGGAACAGCAUCAAUAAUGGAGAGGAUCAGAUGUCGCCCUGAGAUAUGGAGAAAGAAAAAGAGAGAGAGAGAGAGAGAGAGAGAGAGAGAGAGAGAGAGAGAGAGAGAGAGAGAGAGAUUUAACAAUGCUAAGCCAAUCACAGACUUCGGUACAGUCAUGUGACCUGACAUGGUACACUGUAGACCAGAUACAGGAUGCUGUGACUGCCAGGUGAUGGCUGUGGCCCUGCGUAUGAGUCCUGUGACUGAUCAUUAACACAGUGUUCAGUCUUGGCCUAAAUCCUGGGUUCCUCAUGUGAAGACUGCUCUAAAUAAAACAAAGGAUAAACCAACAUGAAGACCAGAAAGCAGUGUGAGGGAGAAAAAAGAGCAAUAAUCACAAAUUCAUGACGUGUGACGUGUAGCAGUGACAGUGUAAUGAGUCUGUCUGUGUUUUCCUUUGUUUCUGUCUGCUGAUUGGCCCUGUCGUUAACUGUUUGCUCCGCCCACUUCUUGAUUACCAUGGACACUAAUUGUACUCAAUCUUUCCUCCAGGU